GUCUAGUGAAAGUAAAAAGAAGAAAAACAGAGCUAAGCCAAGGAAAUGAUUUCUUUCCCACCUACAAUGCAUGAAAAGAAAUUAACAUGAAAAGGGUCUGAGGAAGACAUUAAUAUUUUGAUAGUGGCAGAAGAAUGUUAUUUACAAAAAUAAUGACAAAUGUUGAAGAGAAAAUACAGGCUUCCUAGCAACUAGACCAAAGAUAAGAUGCUGUUGAAUUCAAGAUAGACAUUUGGAAUAUACAGUUAGCUGUCAUUUGAACACAGGCCCAUGGCACAAGUUCAGAAACGUAAAGUUACAGAGAAAAUAAAGACCCCCAGAGCAAAAUCACCACAGUCUCCAUGGAAAUCAAUUGGUUCAUUCUUCGUCUUAAGAGUCCAGCAUUCACUCAACAAACAUCUUAUGCUGCCAGGUUUCUCUAAUGCAGCAGCACAGGGGUUGAUCCCAGGAUUCUGUGCCUGCUAAGCAAACAUUCUGUCACAGAGCUACACCUCCCGUUCCAGAUGAAUUACUGGUGUGAUGAAUUUGACUUCAACUUAAUGACACAACUUGUAAUGUUACCAAAAAAAAAAAAAAAAAAAGGAAUAAUUCCACAAGGCAAACAUUCAAACAUAAAUCCACGAAGUUGAACGUCAUCAGCGAUCUGAUUCAUUUUAUGAUUAGAAUAACAUUCCUUAAUAAUUCUUAUAUAACAUGGCUUGAGAUACCCAAAGUACAUAUUUUCUAUCAACACAAAUGCUUCUUCACCAUGUAUCCUAGGAAAAAAAUCACCUAGGGGUGAUUAUUAAAAAAAAAAAAAAAA
rnacentral:lncRNA from 1 species